rnacentral:rRNA from 1 species
UAGGGAAUCUUCCACAAUGGACGCAAGUCUGAUGGAGCAACGCCGCGUGAGUGAAGAAGGUUUUCGGACCGUAAAGCUCUGUUGUUGGUGAAGAAGGAUAGAGGUAGUAACUGGCCUUUUAUUUGACGGUAAUCAACCAGAAAGUCACGGCUAACUACGUGCCAGCAGCCGCGGUAAUACGUAGGUGGCAAGCGUUGUCCGGAUUUAUUGGGCGUAAAGCGAGCGCAGGCGGAAGAAUAAGUCUGAUGUGAAAGCCCUCGGCUUAACCGAGGAAUUGCAUCGGAAACUGUUUUCUUGAGUGCAGAAGAGGAGAGUAGAACUCCAUGUGUAGCGGUGGAAUGCGUAGAUAUAUGGAAGAAUACCAGUGGCGAAGGCGGCUCUCUGGUCUGCAACUGACGCUGAGGCUCGAAAGCAUGGGUAGCGAACAGGAUUAGAUACCCUGGUAGUCCAUGCCGUAAACGAUGAGUGCUAAGUGUUGGGAGGCUUCCGCCUCUCAGUGCUGCAGCUAACGCAUUAAGCACUCCGCCUGGGGGAGUACGACCGCAAGGUUGAAAC